rnacentral:rRNA from 1 species
AUUGAACGCUGGCGGCAUGCCUUACACAUGCAAGUCGAACGGCAGCACGGGAGCAAUCCUGGUGGCGAGUGGCGAACGGGUGAGUAAUGUAUCGGAACGUGCCCAGUCGUGGGGGAUAACGUAGCGAAAGCUACGCUAAUACCGCAUACGAUCUGUGGAUGAAAGCGGGGGACCGUAAGGCCUCGCGCGAUUGGAGCGGCCGAUAUCAUAUUAGCUAGUUGGUGGGGUAAAGGCCUACCAAGCCGACGAUCUGUAGCUGGUCUGAGAGGACGACCAGCCACACUGGGACUGAGACACGGCCCAGACUCCUACGGGAGGCAGCAGUGGGGAAUUUUGGACAAUGGGCGCAAGCCUGAUCCAGCAAUGCCGCGUGCAGGAUGAAGGCCUUCGGGUUGUAAACUGCUCUUGUACGGAGCGAAAAGGCUCUCUCUAAUACAGGGGGCUCAUGACGGUACCGUAAGAAUAAGCACCGGCUAACUACGUGCCAGCAGCCGCCGCCG